UAGAGGAAAGGGGGCAAACCUAAAAGGGGGCAAAGCGCCAAUCACCAUCAGCUGCAGCCGCUACAUCAUUCCUCGUCAUGGAUCUGCUCAAGCUGCCGCAUAGCUCCCGUGCACGAAUGGAAGGUGGAGAGGCACGUCCGCUAUUCGUCCCUCUGCCGUGCACAUCCCGGUGUCGCCGCGUGGCUUCCCAACCGCCCCGGUGUCGUCGUCGUCAACCUUCCCCCUUGCCCUGCUGUGCGCCGCUCGAACGUACCCUCUUCCCGCUUCCUGCAAAAAACUCGAGUGUUGUUGACAAAUGCUGCACAUGUUUAUUUGAAGCAUCUUAAUUUAUCCAAGCACACCAAGAAGCUUUCUCUAGCAAGCAGAGCUAUUUUGCUAUCUGGUCCUGGAGACUAUGGUGAUUGGUUACUCUCUAGGUGUUGGACCUAUUCCUUGCUAGUUUUCCUCAGUGAAAAGUGGAGGAGUUCAACCUUUUAUUUUCAUGGAUUUAAUAAGCAGUUGUGUGAUUCUUUCUCUUUCGAAGUUUUAGUUUGGCUUCUGUUGAAAAUUUCAUGAAAUGUUUGUUCUUUUUCUGAGCAGGCAGAGGAAGGCAGUGAUGAAGUCUAUUGCCAGGUCUUGUUGGUUCCUGAAAGUGAGGUGAGAUUUAUACAAGACUAUGAAUUCUGAAUUAUGAAUUUAGGAUAUUUAUGAUCUUAAUUUGUUUUAGUUUAGAUUUGAAGAAGAAAUUGAGAAACAUACUUCAAAUUCUCUCAACAUUUUAGUACUACUUAGUGCCUAGACCUUAGGGGUCAAUUAAAAGUAAGAUUGACUAAGCUUUGCUUAAUUUAGCUGCGUGUCAUGUUUCUGGGAAACCAAAUAACACAAAAAGUACACAACGGUACCUGUGUAUUUGUCUAUGUUACCUAGCUCUUCAACUUUACUUUCUAACUGGUAAAAAAGAAGUACAAAGUUUCUUGUUAGAAGAGUGAAAGGGAAAGGAAAGAUAUGUGUUUACUAUUAAAUGAAGCGCCUCUAUUAGUUGAUGCUGAUGGUGAAGAAGAUGAUACUGAAGCUGUGGUGAAGUCAACAACACCCCAUAUGUUUUGCAAGACUCUUACUGCUUCUUACACUAGC